rnacentral:rRNA from 1 species
AAUAAAUUUUUUAUGGUUUAAAAAUUUUAUUAUAAAUUUAUUUUGCAUAUAAAUUUUAGUAAUAAUUUUUAAUUAUUUUAAUAAUAAUUAAUUUAAUAAGUAGUAGUAAUUAAUAUUAAAAAUUUAAGAAAUUAAGAUUUAGUAAUAUUUAAAUUAAUAACAAAUUUUGUGCCAGCAGUUGCGGUUAAACAAAAGUUAAAUUAAAUUUUAUUAGUAAUUAAUAAAUAAAUUAUUAAUUUUAAAUAAAUAUUAAAUUAUUAAGUGAAAUUUUAAUUUAAUUAAAAUUAAUAUAAAAUUUAUGAUUUAAUAAAUUUUUAAAAUAAACUAGGAUUAGAUACCCUAUUAUUAAAAAUUUAAAUUUAUAAUGCUAAAAUAGUAUGUAAUUAUUUAUUGAAACUUAAAUAAUUUGGCGGUAUCUUAGUUCAUUUAGAGGAAUCUGUUUAAUAAUUGAUAGUCCACGAAUAAAUUUACUUAAUUUAAUAUUUUGUAUAUCGUUGUUAAAAAAAUAUUUUUAAAUAAUAAUAAUAUUUAAAAAUUAAAAUUAAAAAUUAAAUCAGAUCAAGAUGCAGAUUAUAAUUAAGAAUAUAAUGGAUUACAAUGAAUUUAUUUAAACUAAUAUUAAUUUGUAAAUAAUUAAUUGAAGGUGGAUUUAAAUGUAAUUUUAUUUAAUUUAUUAAAAUGAUUAUAAAUUAAGAUAUGUACAUAUUGCCCGUCGCUUUCAUAAAUAAAUUGGAAUAAGUCGUAACAAAGUAGAGGUACUGGAAAGUGUUUCUAGAAAUA